rnacentral:rRNA from 1 species
CCUACGGGAGGCAGCAGUGGGGAAUAUUGGACAAUGGGCGAAAGCCUGAUCCAGCAAUGCCGCGUGAGUGAAGAAGGCCUUCGGGUUGUAAAGCUCUUUUACCCGGGAAGAUAAUGACUGUACCGGGAGAAUAAGCUCCGGCUAACUCCGUGCCAGCAGCCGCGGUAAUACGGAGGGAGCUAGCGUUGUUCGGAAUUACUGGGCGUAAAGCGUACGUAGGCGGCUUGGUAAGUCAGAGGUGAAAGCCCACGACUCAAUCGUGGAACUGCCUUUGAGACUGCUUCGCUUGAAGAUGGGAGAGGUUAGUGGAAUUCCGAGUGUAGAGGUGAAAUUCGUAGAUAUUCGGAAGAACACCAGUGGCGAAGGCGGCUAACUGGACCAUUCUUGACGCUGAGGUACGAAAGCGUGGGGAGCAAACAGGAUUAGAUACCCUGGUAGUCCACGCCGUAAACGAUGAUAACUAGCUGUCGGGGCUCUUGGAGCUUCGGUGGCGCAGCUACGCAUUAAGUUAUCCGUCCGUCGGGUAGGUACGGCCGCGAACGGUUAAACGUAACAAGAAGUUAGACGGCGUGAGACGNGCCGACGGACGACGACGAGGGAGUAGG